CGCACGGGUGCGUAACGCGUAUGUAACCUACCUCAAACAGGGGCAUAACACUGAGAAAUUGGUACUAAUUCCCCAUAACACCUGAUAGGGCAUCCUAUUAGGUUGAAAGUUCCGGCGGUUUGAGAUGGACAUGCGUUGUAUUAGCUAGUUGGUGAGGUAACGGCUCACCAAGGCGACGAUACAGUAGGGGGACUGAGACGGUUAACCCCCCACAUUGGUACUGAGACACGGACCAAACUCCUACGGGGAGGCAGCAGGUGGGGAAUAUUGCACAAUGGGGGAAACCCUGAUGCAGCAACGCCGCGUGAAGGAAGAAGGUCUUCGGUAUGUAAAGCUCUAUCAGCAGGGAAGAAAAUGACGGUACCUGACUAAGAAGCCCCGGCUAACUACGUG
rnacentral:rRNA from 1 species